rnacentral:rRNA from 1 species
CCUACGGGAGGCAGCAGUGAGGAAUAUUGGGCAAUGGACGAGAGUCUGAACCAGCCAAGUAGCGUGAAGGAUGACUGCCCUAUGGGUUGUAAACUUCUUUUAUAAAGGAAUAAAACGAGGCACGUGUGCCUUUUUGCAUUUACUUUAUAAAUAAGGAACGGCUAACUUCGUGCCAGCAGCCGCGGUAAUACGGAGGAUCCGAGCGUUAUCCGGAUUUAUUGGGUUUAAAGGGAGCGCAGAUGGGUUGUUAAGUCAGUUGUGAAAGUUUGCGGCUCAACCGUAAAAUUGCAAUUGAUACUGGCAGUCUUGAGUACAGUUGAGGUAGGCGGAAUUCGUGGUGUAGCGGUGAAAUGCGUAGAUAUCACGAAGAACCCCGAUUGCGAAGGCAGCUUACUAAACUGUGACUGACAUUGAUGCUCGAAAGUGUGGGUAGCAAACAGGAUUAGAUACCCCAGUAGUC